rnacentral:rRNA from 1 species
AGUAUCAUUAACUGAAUACAUAGGUUAAUGAGGCAAACCCGGGGAACUGAAACAUCUAAGUACCCGGAGGAAAAGAAAUCAACCGAGAUUCCCCUAGUAGCGGCGAGCGAACGGGGAUUAGCCCUUAAGCGUAGAGGGUGUUAGUGGAAUGUGUUGGAAAGCACAGCGGCACAGGGUGAUAGCCCCGUACAUGAAAACUAACUUUACGUGAAAACGAGUAGGACGGGACACGUGACAUCUUGUCUGAACAUGGGGGGACCAUCCUCCAAGGCUAAAUACUCCUGACUGACCGAUAGUGAACCAGUACCGUGAGGGAAAGGCGAAAAGAACCCCUGUGAGGGGAGUGAAAUAGAACCUGAAACCGUAUACGUACAAGCAGUGGGAGCGGUUCUUGAGACCGUGACUGCGUACCUUUUGUAUAAUGGGUCAGCGACUUACAUUUUGUAGCAAGGUUAAGCGAAUAGCGGAGCCGUAGGGAAACCGAGUGUUAACUGCGCGUUUAGUUGCAAGGUGUAGACCCGAAACCCGGUGAUCUAGCCAUGGGCAGGUUGAAGGUUGAGUAACAUCAACUGGAGGACCGAACACACGUAUGUUGAAAAAUGCGGUGAUGACUUGUGGCUGGGGGUGAAAGGCCAAUCAAACCGGGAGAUAUCUGGUUCUCCUCGAAAGCUAUUUAGGUAGCGCCUCGAGCGAAUACCAUUGGGGGUAGAGCACUGUUAAGGCUAGGGGGUCAUCCCGACUUACCAACCCUUUGCAAACUCCGAAUACCAAUGAGUACUACUCGGGAGACACACGGCGGGUGCUAACGUCCGUCGUGAAAAGGGAAACAACCCAGACCAUCAGCUAAGGUCCCAAAGUUAUUGCUAAGUGGGAAACGAUGUGGGAAGGCUUAGACAGCUAGGAUGUUGGCUUAGAAGCAGCCAUCAUUUAAAGAAAGCGUAAUAGCUCACUAGUCGAGUCGGCCUGCGCGGAAGAUUUAACGGGGCUAAGCAAUACACCGAAGCUAUGGGUUUGCUAGUUUACUAGCAAGCGGUAGAGGAGCGUUCUGUAAGCCGUUGAAGGCGAAGGGGUAACCCACGCUGGAGGUAUCAGAAGUGCGAAUGCUGACAUGAGUAACGAUAAAGGGAGUGAAAAACUCCCUCGCCGAAAGACCAAGGGUUCCUGUCCAAUGUUAAUCAGGGCAGGGUGAGUCGACCCCUAAGGCGAGGCCGAAAGGCGUAGUCGAUGGGAAACAGGUUAAUAUUCCUGUACUUCUGCUAACUGCGAUGGAGAGACGGAGAAGGCUAGGCUAGCGCGGCGUUGGUUGUCCGCGUUUAAGACUGUAGGCUGUGUACUUAGGCAAAUCCGGGUACACACUAGGCUGAGAGUUGAUGACGAGGUCCUAAGGGACUGAAGUAGUUGAUGCCAUGCUUCCAGGAAAAUCUUCUAAGCUUCAGGUUAG